rnacentral:lncRNA from 1 species
GGAGGCAGUAGCAUGGUAACACCUCAAAAUCAAGCAUCCAGCAGCUGAAUCCGAAAAACACAAGAACAAGGAAAAAGUUUGAAUGAAGACUAAAACAAUUGAGCUUCAGCAAAGC